rnacentral:lncRNA from 1 species
GUUUGGUGAAUUAAGGUAUUGGAAAAGAAAUGGAGCAAUUUGGAGCUAAAUUGGAUGCGUUGGCCAAUUAAUCGGGUGAAAAGACGAAUUAGGCCAAUAUCGGGUUUAGAUGGUUACCAGUACAUUUUGCAUUCCAUAUUAUGCAUUAGUAGUCUAAAUUAGUUUAAUUUCGAUUUAGUACCAAUGUAGUAAGUUUCUCGAUUUUGUACUAUGUUAAGGUGGUGAGACCUCCGAUAAAGGCAAAAAAAUUACAUCCGAGGACCAGUAGUCAGAGUACUUCAAAAAUCUACACUCUAGACAUUGUGAGUAAACUUACUGUCAUUUUAAUUAUCUAGAGUGGCUUUUAGAUGAUUUCAUGAAUUCUAUGGAAAAAUGGAUUUAAAAAGGUAAAUUUUCAUGUUUUAUGAAUAAAUGUGUUUUAAUGAAAUUAAUUUAUAAAUUGUUUUGAAAUUAAUAAUGAUUUUGAAAAAUAGAGUACACGGAGACUGCUAUUUGUUGCAAUUUGAUUGUUUAAAUUGAUUGGCUUAUGAUAAAUUGAACAUAAUUGGCUGGUUGGCAAUUGUAUUGAAAUACAGAUUGUUUGUUUGCCUUAAAAGGCUGUGAAUUACAAUAAUUGCCAUAUCAUGUUAUUGAAUUUUAUUGAUUGGUGGGAUAAUUAUUAGCUUACUGCAGUUGGCGGGUUUCGUGGACCAGCCUAUGAGAUGGGCACGGUAACCUCGUUUAUAUGUGCUCACCUCGGUUGUAAAGGUGCGUAGGGUAGCUCCUGAGGUGAUAGUUGAAUUCACUUCACGCCGAACCACCACGUGAUGGUGAACUCAGCCAACACCAAGGAACGGCUGUGAUGUCCAAUGAAAAAUUUGUUUUAUGUGAAAUGUGAAUUUUUAACAGCUUUGGCUGUCUCGGUAGGAUGCCUCAGCCAAGGUGUCCCCGAGGAUGGAUUUAUGGCACAAGCCUAGGUUUUAUGAGAUUCAUAAGCCUCAUUACGUAUUUUGAAUGAAAUGUGUUCUAAUGCUGUGACCCAAUUUACGAUGAUUUAUUUUAUCGUCUCCAUGUACUCAACUCUAGAUGUUUAUGAUGAUGUCUGUUUAUUCACU